rnacentral:lncRNA from 1 species
GUAUGCAUUUUACUUAGGGAUUAGUUUGUCAGGCCCUUGUACAGAUAACAUUUUUUUUAUCUCUUUCCAGAUUCAUCUCCGUGCUUUGAACUUGUGUGGAAAUUAGUCCUUUUGGAACCGUAAAGAUCGAGAUACCAAGUUAAUGGCCACUCGUGAAGCUCCAGAAGAACAUCAAAGAAUUCAAUGAUGCAGACCACUUUAUGGAAGUCAAAGGCAUUGCUCCAUCCAACUUCCAUGCUAUAACUUGCUAGCUUCUGCUAUGACCUUAAAUUACAGUGACUUCAAGGAGUCCUGUAGAGCUGCUUUCUGGACAACAGAAAGGAAAACAAACCUGUAGAGCCACAUUGUGCUUAAGAAAUUGUUCUGUGCUCCUGAGUUAUGGCAUAUACUAUGUCAUUCUUUCUAUAACUUUAACAUUUUCCUAUCACAGAUGAAAUACUGGCUUCAGACGACUUCUGCUUCAGCACCUGCCACAAACUUCCGCAAAGGUAAAGAGAAGAGAAUCAAAUCGCAUUAUAUGCUGGAGAUGCAGGACAAGUAAACACAGCAAACAUGUUGAGCAGAUCAAGUCUCAUACAGGUACAACACAGAAGCUGACGUCCUUGUCUGUGCCACUGAGCUAGGAGAUUAACUCCAACUUCUAAUACGGUGUAUCUGAAACUGGAUUCAGAUUUGAACACCUCUUCAAGAGGUAGUCACUGAUCCUUGAGGUCAAAUGUGAGCUCUCAGUUCUGCUCCAGCCACCACGUCUUUGUUGCACCAUCAUGGACCCUGAUUCUCUGGAUCUGUAAGCUAUAAACAAGCCCCUCCUUUUACAAGUUAUUUUGGUUAUAGUUUAAUCACAGCAGUAGAAAAUACAUUAUCCAUGUGAGUAGGUUUUCUGAAUGCCCCAGUGUCUCCCGCCUCUGGGCACAGCCUCUUGGGGAGGCAGAACGCAGAGAGAACCUGGGUGGGUGCUAGGCUGUAGGGAAGCACUAGGCUCUAGGGAUGGGAAAGCAGAGUCUGAGGUGUGGGAAUGCUGGAGAUGGUUCGGGAGUCCCGGGCCUGCAACGAUGCUGGGGCCAUGGGGUUCUCAGGCUCUUGGACAUCCAGGUGCUGCUGGGAUUUGCAGAAGAGCAGAGAAUGGAGUGGGGAGAGGGGCCAUGGGCUGGGGACAGCGGCUAGCCCAGGGCCAGGGGAAAGGGGAGCUCUGGCUUGUCCCAUGGGUGAUUGUCCUUAGCUUGGUGGGGGCAGGCUAGGUGGAAGUCGUGGCUGGGAGCGCAGAGAGGUCUUCUAUGGGAGAAUUAAGCUGCAUCUCUGCUGUCAGUGUCUUCUCUGAGGCUCCCCUUGGUGGAUCUUGGUGAAGAGACACUCCACGGUUUAUUGUCAGUUUAUUGUCAUGGCAGUUUAUUGUCAUGGCAGAAUAUGGGUACGUAAAACCAUACCCCACUUCU